CAGUCGAACGGGAAUCUUCGGAUUCUAGUGGCGGACGGGUGAGUAACGCGUAAGAAUCUAACUUCAGGACGGGGACAACAGUUGGAAACGACUGCUAAUACCCGAUAUGCCGCGAGGUGAAACCUAAUUGGCCUGAAGAAGAGCUUGCGUCUGAUUAGCUAGUUGGUGGGGUAAGAGCCUACCAAGGCGACGAUCAGUAGCUGGUCUGAGAGGAUGAGCAGCCACACUGGGACUGAGACACGGCCCAGACUCCUACGGGAGGCAGCAGUGGGGAAUUUUCCGCAAUGGGCGAAAGCCUGACGGAGCAACGCCGCGUGAGGGAGGAAGGUCUUUGGAUUGUAAACCUCUUUUCUCAAGGAAGAAGUUCUGACGGUACUUGAGGAAUCAGCCUCGGCUAACUCCGUGCCAGCAGCCGCGGUAAUACGGGGGAGGCAAGCGUUAUCCGGAAUUAUUGGGCGUAAAGCGUCCGCAGGUGGUCAGCCAAGUCUGCUGUCAAAUCAGGUUGCUUAACGACCUAAAGGCGGUGGAAACUGGCAGACUAGAGAGCAGUAGGGGUAGCAGGAAUUCCCAGUGUAGCGGUGAAAUGCGUAGAGAUUGGGAAGAACAUCGGUGGCGAAAGCGUGCUACUGGGCUGUAUCUGACACUCAGGGACGAAAGCUAGGGGAGCGAAAGGGAUUAGAUACCCCUGUAGUCCUAGCCGUAAACGAUGGAUACUAGGCGUGGCUUGUAUCGACCCGAGCCGUGCCGAAGCUAACGCGUUAAGUAUCCCGCCUGGGGAGUACGCACGCAAGUGUGAAACUCAAAGGAAUUGGCGG
rnacentral:rRNA from 1 species